UACGGGGGGAGCAAGCGUUGUUCGGAUUUACUGGGCGUAAAGGGCGCGUAGGCGGCCUGCUAAGUCGGACGUGAAAUCCCCCGGCUCAACCGAGGAACUGCGUCCGAUACUGGUGGGCUCGAAUCCGGGAGAGGGAUGUGGAAUUCCAGGUGUAGCGGUGAAAUGCGUAGAUAUCUGGAGGAACACCGGUGGCGAAGGCGGCAUCCUGGACCGGCAUUGACGCUGAGGCGCGAAAGCCAGGGGAGCAAACGGG
rnacentral:rRNA from 1 species